CCAGGAAUCUAGAAGUCAGGAGACAGCCCUUCAGGGCUCCAUCUUUAACAUGAUUCAGCUGCUGGCUGUAUACUUGCUUCAUUCUAUACUUCCCAGCUGGCAUCUUCUUUCCCUCUACUCUGUAGGUUGCACUUGGCUUCUUCUCCAUCUAAUAGCAUUCUUUGAAGCUCAGUUCCCACUGCUAACAACCUCAUUCAAGAGAAUGAGAACAUGGUCCUGUUAUCAGGAAUUGAACUAUUCAUUAUAAAGUACAAGAUGAACAGUGGGAAAGCAAUUGGCCCAGCUCAGUGUUUGGUACCAGUUAGGCAACAUCUCGGCAACAGACUCCAGUAUUCUUGCCUGCAAAAUCCCAUGAACAGAGGAGCCUGGGGGGUUACAGUCCAUGGGGUCACAAAGAGUCAGAUACAACUGAGCACACACACACACAUGCAACAACAGCUACUGAGGCAGGUGGCUCUGGGGACAAAUCUUGUGUGUACUGAGGAUCGGGAGGGAGCUAAGGACAGGAAAGCACCACCAUGUGGGACAAAUCAUGGCUGCCUAGACUCGCCCAUUCAGCAAGAUCAGUGGCAGGGAUGUUUCUACCUAAUAAAGGUCUGUGGCAUAUCGGGAUGUGCUGUCCAUUACUGGGAUGUGCUGUUCCUAGCUAUGAAAAGAAGAGAAGCGAAAGGCAAAGGAGAAAAGGAAAGAUAUACCUAUUUGAAUGCAGAGUUACAAAGAAUAGCAAGGAGAGAUAAGAACGCCUUCCUCAGUGAUCAAUGCAAAGAAAUAGAGGAAAACAAUAGAAUGGGAAAGACUAGAGAUCUCGUCAAGAAAAUUAGAGAUACCAAAGGAACAUUUCAUGCAAAGAUGGGCUCAAUAAAGGACAAAAAUGGUAUGGACCUAACAGAAGCAGAAGAUAUUAAGAAGAGGUGGCAAGGAUACACAGAACUAUACAAAAAAGACCUUCAUGACCUAGAUACGUACCUAGAGCCAGACAUCCUGGAAUGUGAAGUCAAGUGGGCCUUAGGAAGC
rnacentral:lncRNA from 1 species